rnacentral:rRNA from 1 species
UAACUACGUGCCAGCAGCCGCGGUAAUACGUAGGUGGCAAGCGUUGUCCGGAAUUACUGGGUGUAAAGGGAGCGUAGGCGGGAUGCCAAGUCAGCUGUGAAAACUAUGGGCUUAACCUGUAGACUGCAGUUGAAACUGGUAUUCUUGAGUGAAGUAGAGGUUGGCGGAAUUCCGAGUGUAGCGGUGAAAUGCGUAGAUAUUCGGAGGAACACCGGUGGCGAAGGCGGCCAACUGGGCUUUAACUGACGCUGAGGCUCGAAAGUGUGGGGAGCAAACAGGAUUAGAUACCCUGGUAGUCCACACUGUAAACGAUGAUUACUAGGUGUUGGAGGAUUGACCCCUUCAGUGCCGCAGUUAACACAAUAAGUAAUCCACCUGGGGAGUACGACCGCAAGGUUGAAACUCAAAGGAAUUGACGGGGGCCCGCACAAGCAGUGGAUUAUGUGGUUUAAUUCGAAGCAACGCGAAGAACCUUACCAGCACUUGACAUCCGACUAACGAAGUAGAGAUACAUUAGGUGCCCUUCGGGGAAAGUCGAGACAGGUGGUGCAUGGUUGUCGUCAGCUCGUGUCGUGAGAUGUUGGGUUAAGUCCCGCAACGAGCGCAACCCCUGCCAUUAGUUGCUACGCAAGAGCACUCUAAUGGGACCGCUACCGACAAGGUGGAGGAAGGUGGGGACGACGUCAAAUCAUCAUGCCCCUUAUGUGCUGGGCUACACACGUAAUACAAUGGCCAUCAACAAAGAGAAGCAAUACCGCGAGGUGGAGCAAAACUUCAAAAAUGGUCUCAGUUCGGACUGCAGGCUGCAACCCGCCUGCACGAAGUUGGAAUUGCUAGUAAUCGUGGAUCAGCAUGCCACGGUGAAUACGUUCCCGGGUCUUGUACACACCGCCCGUCACACCAUGGGAGUUGGUAACACCCGAAGUCAGUAGUCUAACCGCAAGGAGGACGCUGCCGAAGGUGGGAUUGACGACUGGGGUGAAGUCGUAACAAGGUAGCCGUAUCAGAAGGUGCGGCUG